rnacentral:rRNA from 1 species
UCGAGGAUCUUCGGCAAUGGACGAAAGUCUGACCGAGCAACGCCGCGUGCGGGAUGAAGGCCUUCGGGUUGUAAACCGCUUUCAGCAGGGACGAAACUGACGGUACCUGCAGAAGAAGCCCCGGCCAACUACGUGCCAGCAGCCGCGGUAACACGUAGGGGGCGAGCGUUGUCCGGAUUUAUUGGGUGUAAAGGGCGUGUAGGCGGGACUUUAAGUCAGAUGUGAAAUUCCCAGGCUCAACCUGGGCGC